rnacentral:rRNA from 1 species
UACGUAGGGUGCGAGCGUUGUCCGGAAUUAUUGGGCGUAAAGAGCUCGUAGGCGGUUUGUCGCGUCUGCUGUGAAAUCCCAGGGCUUAACCCUGGGCCUGCAGUGGGUACGGGCAAACUAGAGUGCGGUAGGGGAGAUCGGAAUUCCUGGUGUAGCGGUGAAAUGCGCAGAUAUCAGGAGGAACACCGGUGGCGAGGGCGGAUCUCUGGGCCGUAACUGACGCUGAGGAGCGAAAGCAUGGGUAGCGAACAGG